rnacentral:rRNA from 1 species
UACGUAGGGGGCGAGCGUUGUCCGGAUUUAUUGGGCGUAAAGAGCUCGUAGGCGGUUCGAUAAGUCGGACGUGAAAUCUCCACGCUCAACGUGGAGGGGCCGUUCGAUACUGUCGUGACUCGAGUCCGGUAGGGGAGUGUGGAAUUCCCGGUGUAGCGGUGAAAUGCGCAGAGAUCGGGAGGAACACCCGUAGCGAAGGCGGCACUCUGGGCCGGUACUGACGCUGAGGCACGAAAGCGUGGGGAGCGAACAGG